rnacentral:rRNA from 1 species
AGUGAACGCUGGCGGUAGGCCUAACACAUGCAAGUCGAACGGCAGCACAGUAAGAGCUUGCUCUUACGGGUGGCGAGUGGCGGACGGGUGAGGAAUGCAUCGGAAUCUACUUUUUCGUGGGGGAUAACGUAGGGAAACUUACGCUAAUACCGCAUACGACCUACGGGUGAAAGCAGGGGAUCUUCGGACCUUGCGCGAUUGAAUGAGCCGAUGUCGGAUUAGCUAGUUGGCGGGGUAAAGGCCCACCAAGGCGACGAUCCGUAGCUGGUCUGAGAGGAUGAUCAGCCACACUGGAACUGAGACAGGGUCCAGACUCCUACGGGAGGCAGCAGUGGGGAAUAUUGGACAAUGGGCGCAAGCCUGAUCCAGCCAUACCGCGUGGGUGAAGAAGGCCUUCGGGUUGUAAAGCCCUUUUGUUGGGAAAGAAAAGCAGCAGGUUAAUACCCCGCUGUUCUGACGGUACCCAAAGAAUAAGCACCGGCUAACUUCGUG